rnacentral:lncRNA from 1 species
UUCACUUAGUUCAUUCCUUAGCUUUCAUAUUGACUUCCUAGCCACUCUUGCAGAUUUGACACCAGCUCAUCGCCAACAUCGAGGUGAUGAAAAAUGCAAAGAAGGAAGCAGCUCAGGUAGAAGAAGGUCGCUAGGCUGAGGCUGCCCGUCUUAAGGAGAAGGUCGUCGAAGUCAUGAGUCUCCAAGAGGUACUCCAGAAGGAGGAACAAACUUCGACAGAUCUGAAGGCUGCUUUGGAGGAGGAAAG